UACCAGCUCUCCGAGUAGUGUGGAUGUUUAUUGGGCCUAAAGCAUCCGUAGCUUGCUAAGCAAGUCCCCUGUUAAAUCCACCGAUUUAAUCGUUGGAUUGCGGGGGAUACUGUUUGGCUAGGGGACGGGAGAGGCCGACGGUAUUUCCGGGGUAGGGGUGAAAUCCUAUAAUCCCGGGAAGACCACCAGUGGCGAAGGCUGUCGGCUAGGACGCGCCCGACGGUGAGGGAUGAAAGCUGGGGGAGCGAACCGGAUUAGAUACCCGGGUAGUCCCAGCUGUAAACGAUGCAGGCUAGGUGUUUGGGCGGCCACGAGCCGCCCUAGUGCCGCAGGGAAGCUGUUAAGCCUGCCGCCUGGGGAGUACGGCCGCAAGGCUGAAACUUAAAGGAAUUGGCGGGGGAGCACCACAAGGGGUGAAGCUUGCGGUUU
rnacentral:rRNA from 1 species